UACGUAGGUGGCAAGCGUUGUCCGGAUUUACUGGGCGUAAAGAGCGCGCAGGCGGUCGUUCAAGUCGCGUGUGAAAGCCCCCGGCUCAACUGGGGAGGGUCACGCGAUACUGAUCGACUCGAAGGCAGGAGAGGGAAGUGGAAUUCCCGGUGUAGUGGUGAAAUGCGUAGAUAUCGGGAGGAACACCAGUGGCGAAGGCGACUUCCUGGCCUGUUCUGACGCUGAGGAGCGAAAGCGUGGGGAGCGAACAGG
rnacentral:rRNA from 1 species